UACGAAGGGGGCUAGCGUUGCUCGGAAUCACUGGGCGUAAAGCGCACGUAGGCGGGUUGCCAAGUCGGGGGUGAAAUCCUGGAGCUCAACUCCAGAACUGCUUUCGAUAUUGGCGAUCUUGGAGUCCGGGAGAGGUGAGUGGAACUGCGAGUGUAGAGGUGAAAUGCGUAGAUAUUCGCAAGAACACCAGUGGCGAAGGCGGUUUACUGGCCCGGUACUGACGCUGAGGUGCGAAAGCGUGGGGAGCAAACAGG
rnacentral:rRNA from 1 species